GCCAGUGUGGUGUAGUGGUUUGAACGUUGGACUAUGACUAUGGAGAUCAGGGGUUGAUUCCCUGCUUGAGCA